AUUUUCACCUGGAUGAGCAGAAGGAAGAAAAGUGAGCAGACUGAAGAUGAGUGGUUAUGAGGAGGAAGAGGAGGACAGAGCAGAGUCGCCAGGGUUCAGCUGUGUGUCUCUGAAGAGUGACCGGUCCAUGGAACUUCCUCUAACCUUCAGUAAAGAACCUGGACCCUCACACACAAAAGGUCAGGACCACAGACUGAGAGCAGAGUCUCCAGGGUCCAGCUGUCUGUCUCUGAAGAGUGACUGGUCCAUGGAACCUCCUAUAUUCUUCAGUAAUGAACCUGGGCCCUCACACACAGAGUAAGAGACUGUUUCUACUGUGACCUGCUCUGAAGAGGAUCUAGUUUCCUCUAGUGUGGCCCCUGCAUUAGGACACAGCUUCAAUGAAGUUGGUGACUAAUCUCUCAGAAUCACUCAAAGAGCUCAGACCUCCACCAAGAACCAACACGCUCCUUAUGAAACCAACCAACAGACAAACAUACUGGAUGAAAACAAAACCUCCUUGACAGAAGUAAUGACAACCUGUGACUGUGACAUGUGAGUGAUCAGGAAAUGUCUUCACAGAGAGAGGAAG